UAAAUGAGCUAAAUACCUAAUAAAAAAAUGGAAAAAAAAUUUAAAAAAAAUUUGGGGCAGAAUUCAGUCAGGCUUCAGUUGAUGUUUUAACAAAACCCCUGAAAUUUUGCUUUGACUUAUGUGACAGUCUCUUUAAAUCACUGUUUUUUGAGACUGAUGAAAAUUGGCAUACCACUGUACUAUAAUUUUUGGAGUAUCACACACUUCAAUUCAGAUAACAAGAGUCUUAGACAACUCAUCCUUCUACAAAGGUAAACAAACACCAUAGACUUCUGUUAAGAAUAUGUAAUUUACAAUAAAUUGAACACUUGGAUAAACUUUGGAAAACAUAUUCACAUGGCAGUUAUAUCUACUCUCCACAGGAUUAACUAAGAACAUUCUGGGUUCUCUAACACAUGCAGGUGGCUAUUUAUAAGACUAAAAGUUUAAGAUUGAGAGCCACUAUGGAAGUGCAGGGCAAAAGAGAACUUUGGAAGUCACUCCUAGUGAAGAUUAUCUUUGAAAAUAUAAGUCCAACCCUCCCUAUGUAAGAAUUAAAUUAAAAGAAGAAACCUCAAAGCUUUGGAGGACCUCUCCUGGCAAAUGUUUUAAAUCAGACUGGCCUAUCCCAGGCUCUCAGUGAAUGUUCCCUGGCCUGUAGAGGAAGACCAUCCCUUUAGACAGGAGUCCACUCGCAUAUGAACCACAGCCAUACUAUUUCAAAAUAGGGCUAGUUAAAUCGUAUCAGCAAGCAGUAGGUUGAUGUAUAAUUACUUAUCAUUACUGUAACGUCACUUUAAAAUGUAUUUCCCAACUACUCUUCUUCCCUUUAUCAAUGUAUUAUUCAUAUCUAUAUAAAUAACAUUUCACUGAAUUCAUUUUAGAGAAAUCCAUUGACUCUAGUAAAUUAUUAGACACAUGUAACUGUCAUUCAGGCAAUAAUCUGGAAAUACCCUGCUAAGGAUUUCUGGAAACUCAGUCUGUGGAUGAAAGAUGAACAAAAGCACCAUCUCAUCUGCUACCAAACUGAUGGCCUCAAAUGAUUUGGAAUUUAAUUACAGAACUGACUACAUUUUCAGGAUAUGAUUUCCAAAGGCCAAAUAUGUUAUUUAAUUCCCUGUUUGUGUGUUUUGUCCAAGGGACAUCAGUUGUAUUUGUAAAUCUCAGUCCUAGAAACUGAGAGCUUUGGGCUACGCAGGAUCCAUAUGUUAGGAGUUAGACUGAGGGAAAAGGCAGAAAAGGGAAAUUAUCACGCUCAUCUUCUCCCCUUUCUGCACUCUCUCUUCCACUUCAUCCUGCUAGCCAGGAACAUUUCCAUGUCCAUUCACAUACAAGUAGGAAUUCCAAGGUAGUGCUAUUGGAUUUCAGAUUAGCACUAAUUGUUUUGAGUGUGAAUACAUCCCAUUCAAUAGUCAGCCAUGCUUAUACUAAAUAGUUGUCUGAAUUAUCUGAUCCCAAACUUUAACUGGAUAGUUUGAAUUUGUAUGCGAUUAAGUACAUGAAGGAAAGUUCCAGGAUAACGUUUUGCUGUGCUAUUUUUCUGAAAUGUAGAGUCAGGACUCUUUAGCUGGCUCGGCAGGGAAAGGAGCUGGCCACCAAGGGUAAGGACUGGAGUUUGAUCCCUGAGAUUCACAUAUUAGAAAGAGAGCACCAACUCCGAAAGUUGUCCAUUUAUGACAUCACAUUAACCAUGACACAUGCACCUACACAUACACACAUAAAAUAAACAAAUGGAAUAAAAAUUUAAAGAAGAAUGAAGAGUCAAAUUAAGGUAGUGACUUCUAAGGGAGGAAAGAGGAGGAAGAGUGAAUUUUUGGAAAAGUUGGCAGGAGUGUGAAUGGAUAUAAUCAACACAUGUUAUAUGAAAUCCUCAGUUAAUAUAAUUUUUAAUAAACAAUAUUUUAGGUGGUCUGAACCUCUUUGUUGUUCCUAAAGUUGCAACAUGGUAUCAUCUUUUUUAAAGACAUGGGUGUAUUUGUGUGUGUGUCUGUGUAAGUGUGUGCAUUGUAUGUAGGAGUACCCAUUCAAGCCAGAAAAGGGCAUUGUGUCCUCUGAAUUGGAGUUUCAGGGCCUUGUGAGCUACCUGAUGUGUAUACUAGAAUCUGAACUCAAGUCAUUCUGAAAAUGAGUAAGUCCUCUAAAGGGCUAAGAUAUCGCAGCUCAUGUGUUUACCUUGAUGCGUCCUAAGGACCGCUCCCUAUCACUUGCUCGGGGGUUGGUGAUUUCAUUGAACCCUCUUCCAAAGAAGAAGCAGCAGCAGAAUGUGCUGUUUCAAUAAGAGGUCUUUUGUUGGUGAUGCUCAAAGGCAAGGAAAUCAUCAUCCUGCUUAUGGUCAGGAUUGAUCAUGGAGGUCAAGCCUCGUCGUUACAUGUUGUCAAGAUUUGAGAAAAAUGCAUCCUUCAUUUUAAUUCUUUGCAUGAUUAAAGUCAUUCAGUUACCAUUCCAUUUAAUUAAAAGCUUUUAUGAUUUAAUUUUAGUGAGGGGAGAAUGAUUAGUCAUUAAAAUGAUGACUGGAUGAUGAUUUUUUUUAUUAUUAUUAUUGCAGUAGAUAACAGGAAAAGGCCUUUGAGAUAAAUUCUAUUUU
rnacentral:lncRNA from 1 species